rnacentral:rRNA from 1 species
AGAGUUUGAUCCUGGCUCAGAUUGAACGCUGGCGGCAUGCUUUACACAUGCAAGUCGAACGGCAGCGGGGGCUUCGGCCUGCCGGCGAGUGGCGAACGGGUGAGUAAUGCAUCGGAACGUGCCCAGUCAUGGGGGAUAACUACGCGAAAGCGUAGCUAAUACCGCAUACGCCCUGAGGGGGAAAGCGGGGGAUCGCAAGACCUCGCGUGAUUGGAGCGGCCGAUGUCGGAUUAGCUAGUUGGUGGGGUAAAGGCCUACCAAGGCGACGAUCCGUAGCGGGUCUGAGAGGAUGAUCCGCCACACUGGGACUGAGACACGGCCCAGACUCCUACGGGAGGCAGCAGUGGGGAAUUUUGGACAAUGGGGGCAACCCUGAUCCAGCCAUGCCGCGUGAGUGAAGAAGGCCUUCGGGUUGUAAAGCUCU